rnacentral:rRNA from 1 species
UCUACGGGAGGCAGCAGUGGGGAAUAUUGCGCAAUGGGCGAAAGCCUGACGCAGCGACGCCGCGUGAGGGAUGAAGGUCUUCGGAUCGUAAACCUCUGUCAGCAGGGAAGAACGGUCACUGUGCUAAUCAGCAGUGAAUUGACGGUACCUGCAAAGGAAGCACCGGCUAACUCCGUGCCAGCAGCCGCGGUAAUACGGAGGGUGCGAGCGUUAAUCGGAAUUACUGGGCGUAAAGCGCUCGUAGGCGGUAUGUCAAGUCAAGGGUGAAAUCCCCGCGCUCAACGUGGGAACUGCCUUUGAAACUGGCAAACUGGAGUGUGUGAGAGGAUAGUGGAAGUCCAGGUGUAGGAGUGAAAUCCGUAGAUAUCUGGAGGAACAUCAGUGGCGAAGGCGACUAUCUGGCACAUAACUGACGCUGAGGAGCGAAAGCGUGGGUAGCAAACAGGAUUAGAUACCCCAGUAGUC